rnacentral:lncRNA from 12 species
ACGCUGAAAGGGACAAGGAGCUGGGUUUUAGAAGAGCCAGCUUGAGUAUGCUCUGAGCCCAGCCUUGAGGGAUUCCCUGGCAAGCAUCCAUGGAGGGCAAAGGAGCUUGCAAUGCUGCAAGUUUUCACAAAGCAACAUGUGGAAACAGACUUAGGUUUAGUAAAGAUAUUCUAGUAAACAGAGUAUUCAUAUUGUUUAGGGAAAGAAUAUAUCCUACAAGUAUUGAGAAUGGCAGUGCACUGUAGCAAUUCCUUACAUUAUGUAUAGUGAAUGGUGAGGCACAUGGUUGGGUCUAAACAUAAAAUCAG